rnacentral:rRNA from 1 species
CAGUCGCCACGGUAAUACGGAGGGUGCAAGCGUUAAUCGGAAUUACUGGGCGUAAAGCGCACGCAGGCGGUCUGACAAGUCAGAUGUGAAAUCCCCGGGCUUAACCUGGGAACUGCAUUUGAAACUGUCAGGCUGGAGUCUUGUAGAGGGGGGUAGAAUUCCAGGUGUAGCGGUGAAAUGCGUAGAGAUCUGGAGGAAUACCGGUGGCGAAGGCGGCCCCCUGGACAAAGACUGACGCUCAGGUGCGAAAGCGUGGGGAGCAAACAGGAUUAGAUACCCCUGUAGUCCCUGUCUCUUAUAC